CAAGUCCAUAAAGAAUCCAGAACUUUGGGGCUGGGGAUUUAGCUCAGUGGUAGAGCGCUUACCUAGGAAGCGCAAGGCCCUGGGUUCGGUCCCCAGCUCCAAAAAAAAGAACCAAAAAAAAAAAAGAAUCCAGAACUUUACAAAUUGCCUUCCUAGUGACCAUCAAUAGAAAAUGGUGAUUUCUAAGGAACAGUAUCAGUCUGAUGGAAAAGGUGUGGCCAUAUGGAAAAGUGGUGGACCCUAAGUUUCAACACUCGGAUCCACCAUUCCAAAUUGGGGUGGAUGUCCAAAGGAAUAAAAGCUCAGACAGGGACUAUACACGUGUGUUCACCACUGACAAGAGGUGGAAACAACCCAGGCUUCCAGUUAAGUUUGUACACAGACUGUGGUCCAGCUACGGGACAGUGGGCUGUCAUGGUCACAAAACUGAAACCUCAGUGCACUCUGAGAAUGUUCCACCAGAGGAAAGGACCCAGUUACAGGACAGGUGAUGGGGCUGCUUCUGCUCAUCCCGAGCACCGGGCACGGACGCCUCAGUGCUGUGUGUGCUGUUAAGAAUGUAGCUCGAGGGGUUGGGGAUUUAGCUCAGUGGUAGAGCGCUUGCCUAGCAAGCGCAAGGCCCUGGGUUCGGUCCCCAGCUCCGG
rnacentral:lncRNA from 1 species